GAAGAUCACUCAAAGGACACAGAGGGACGCUGCCACAGUACCAGCUGUUCCAGUUCUGAGGCUCAAGCUCUGUUGCCCUGUACAGAUGAGGCAAGCCUUUUCACAUAGGCUACUACCAUAUUGACAACGUACCAUACAGCUACAGCUAGCUUACAACAGAUUUUAGCUGUACAGAUCUUCAAGGUUUACACCCCAGCCUGAUGCUGAAGCUUCCCACAGCUCUGCUGAUAACAUUUGCUGUCUGCAGCCAGAGUUAAGAUUUCUAUCUACAGAUGAGCUGGCAGAACAGCGGGCACUGGAAAUCCCUGGGAAGACAAGCCAGGAUUGAUCGAUGGCGUUAAGAUAUACACAUAUGAGAGAUGUGAAAAAAACAGAGAUGAAUCCCAAGCAGUGAUAAAAAGAGAAGCACAGUUAAUGCAGGAAUGUGACAUUAAAUUUGCAGGAAAAGUUUCUGGAUGUUCAUGGAAAUCUGAUUAAGAGAUUUAAAGAAGCUUGCUAAACAGAGAAACAGAAUAAAAGCUGUA